rnacentral:lncRNA from 1 species
UAGCACAUCCAGAAAGUCGGCAGUGGUUACUAUAUCCAACUGGAUCCUGGGUAAGUCGCUGCUUUCUAGGAUAAGAACACAACAGUAACAGCACAACAAUCGACCUCUUGGUGAUCAAUGCUCUUGAAAUGCUAAUAGACCUUCUUUCAAAAUAAUGCAUAAUGCAGCAUUCUUAAUUGUUAAUGCAGCAAAAGGCAAGACUAAAGAGGGCUGGGGAAAAAUUCUUUAACGUGCAACUGAGUUAGCCCCUAAGGCCCAGACAAAAAAAUGUGACCUAAAUGUAUCGUUACCAGGUAUUAUUUAAUAUUUAUAUAGUGCCUCAAAUGGAUCCAGCCCAACAUCACAGUGUGCCAGAGAAAUAAAAGCCUGAGCCCUAAGGAGUUUAUCAUCUGCAAGCAAAGUCGAUCCGAAUCAGAACACCCACGGAGGAAUGAGUUGAGUGAGGGAUGAUUUGACCAAAAAACGCGUUGCCAAGUGUAAAGCGGCACCAAGAACAGGCGCCAGGCUCCAUCUGCUGUGAAAAGGAGCUUAUUCUUCGUGAAGAUGCCCAUUGCAUUACGGGGGCAGCUUGGAUCUUAUUCUAAGUGUCUCAAGCUUCUAUCAGCUCAUGGUAAGACCUGGUCUACAAGAUGGCCAUAUGGUGGGCCCUUGACCUACAUGUGCCCCUCUCCAGGGCAGCUGACCUGGCUCAGCACACUGUACUCCAGCUCUGUGUGCAGCUCCAAGGCCCUGCUCUUGCUCACAGGAGGCAGCCAGUGGUAGAUCAUGGCCUGCCUGGCCUCCCGGCUGGGGAGAUCGACCAGAAUCCUCUUCUCCAGGCGGCGUAACAUGGCACAGUCCAGCUCCCUGAAAUCACACCAGAAAUGGAGCUGGACAGGGCUGCAAACACACUUCCUGAACAACAACUGUACUUUAAGAACAAUUUAGCAUUGCAGGAAGCAAUUCUGCAUUUUAACUGUCACUCUACAUCUAUGCCUUGAGGGGAUGGGACAAUUAAUAUUAUUUGGAGAAAGAAUUGGUGAGAAAGAGAACUGAGGGAGGGAAGGAAGGGAAGAGAGGGAGGAAAGCAGAAAGGAAGGAGAAGAAAGGGAAGGAAGGAUGAAUGGAAGAAAAGAAAACACAUUCUCAGAACUAAUGAAAAGGAAGUAAUUUUAUGCGACUUAAUUUGGGGUACAAAAACCAACUAACAACCGGCAAUCAUGAGUAUUCUCAUUGCAGUUGUAACAUGAAUUAUUCAAUCCGAUCUUGCCAGUGAGUAAAUUAUUGCUGACAAUAACUUGGGCACUCUAAGUACAUUAAUUCUUCCAAAAUUCUCAGUCCUUCUGGAGUGAAUGACCCCCUCACUUCAUUACAUUGGUGAACUUAGCACCAGUGGCCCUUCCCGGGUGCCCAGUGCAAAUAACGGCCCUUUCAGACACUCACUUUUACUCCUCCCAAAACUGUCAGGCCAAGUUUAUGUGAUUUUGCAUCCAUAGGCCAUUUCCUUAAACAACUUGAUAUGGUUUGGCUCUGUGUCCCCACCCAAAUCUCAUCUUGAAUUGUAAUCGCAUAAUUCCCACGUGUUGUGGGAGGGACCCAGUAGGAGAUAAUUUGAAUCAUGUGGGCAGUUUCCACCACGCAUGCUGUUCUCAUGGUAGUGAAUAAGUCUCACGAGGUCUGAUGGUUUUAUCAGGGGUUUCCGCUUCUUGCAUCUUCCUCAUUUUCUCUUGCUGCCACCAUAUAAGAAGUGUCUUUUGCCCCCCGCCAUGAUUCUGAGGCUCCCCAUCCAUGUGAAACUGUAAGUCCAAUUAAUUUUUUUCUCUUCCCAGUCUUGGAUAUGUCUUCACCAGCAGCAUGAAAAUGGACUAGUACACUUUUUUUUUUUUUUUUUUUUUUUGAGAUGGAGUCUUGCUCUGUCACCAGGCUGGAGUGCAAUGGCUUUCAAGCUAAUAUAAAAGUAGAAUAAAACAAUUGAACAUCUAUAUACAUACCAUCUUGAUUCAGCACCAGUAUUCUUCUAUAUCUGCUUCAUAUCUCUCUAUCUACCUAUUCUUGCUAAAUUAUUUCAAAGUAACUUAUAUCAUGACACCUCAUCCCUAAAUAUUUUAGCAUGUAUUUCCAAAGAAGGGCAUUUGCUUACAUAGCCACAAUAUCAUUAUGACACCUGGCAAAACUGAUUCUGUGAUGUGUCUAAUGCUCAGUCCAUAUUCAGAUUUCUCCAGUCAGGGUGGAGGGUGGGAGGAGGAGAGGAUCAGGAAAAACAACUAAUGGGUACUAGGCUUAAUACCUGGGUGAUGAAAUAAUCUGUACAGCAAACCCCCAUGACACAAGUUCACCUAUACAACAAACCUGCACAUGUACCCCUGAGCUUAAAUAAAAGUUAAAAAAUACUCCAACCAUCCCCAAAAUAUCUUCCAUCAUUUUCUGACAAAAUCCAGUGAACAAAUAUGCAUUAUGUAUGGUUAUGUCUCUUAAAUCUCUUUUUAAUCUAGGCCAGCCUGCUUGCCCUAGACCCUUUUUGAAAAAACAGGGCCAGCUGGAGAAUGUCCCACAUUCUGAAUUUGUCUGAUGAUUUCCUUGUGAUACAUGAAACUGGUUCCUCUAUUCCCUGUCUCUAAGAGGGAAGUUCUAAAAGCUUAAUGAGAUUUAGGGUAAAUAUUUUUUGGCAAGCGUAUUGCAUAGAUGAUGAUGUGUUUUCAUAUUCAUCAGGAUCCACACAUCUGUGUAUCUCACUGUCGGUGUGGUGGUUGAUUUUCUGGUGGCCAUGGAACUCUCCGUUGUAAAGAAAAACAUCUUCUCUCAGCAUGUAGACAAAACUACCAGCAAGUGUGAGCUGCUGGUGUACAGCAAGUGUGAAAUGCAGCAAAGACUCACAGACCUCAGAGUUUGGUCCACUGGACCCAGGCCCACUGCUGGAUAAAAGGUGCAGCACCCACUGGCCACUUCGACGGUUUACAUCUUGCUUCAAGGCCUUGCGCCCGAUCAGCUGAGCCCCUGUGCCAACCCUCAGGUACCUUCCUAAGUCCCUCGUCCUGUCUCCACUGUUAAACCAGGGUUCC